UUGGCUCAGGAUGAACGCUGGCGGCGUGCCUAACACAUGCAAGUCGAACGAAGCAUUUUCCUCGGAGAUUCGUCGAAGAGGGACUUGACUUAGUGGCGGACGGGUGAGUAAUGCGUGAGCAACCUGCCCUUCAGAGGGGGACAACAGUUGGAAACGACUGCUAAUACCGCAUGAUGUCAUCGGGAGGCAUCUCCUGAUGACCAAAGAUUUAUCGCUGGAGGAUGGGCUCACGUCUGAUUAGCUAGUUGGUGGGGUAACGGCCUACCAAGGCUGCGAUCAGUAGCCGGACUGAGAGGUUGAACGGCCACAUUGGGACUGAGAUACGGCCCAGACUCCUACGGGAGGCAGCAGUGGGGAAUA
rnacentral:rRNA from 1 species